GCUUCUAUAGCACAAUUGAUAGUGCAGCACUCUUGUAAAGUGCAGGUUAUUGGUUUGAGUCCAAUUAGAAGCU
rnacentral:tRNA from 1 species